CUCGGCAAUACUGAUUCAUGAAUUUAUCAAAAAAACAUCUUACAUUAUUAUACUAAAAUUCACCAAUCACUCAUCAACGUCUAAAUAAAAAACUUAGCAAAUGGCCCCCCGGGGCACGGCUCAACUGGUGGAUCAAUCAACAUUUGUCUUGCUUCCAGCGGUAGGGUGGAGGUUCGAAUCCUGGUGGGAACUUGCGGCUAGAUUUAUUUGGUAUGGAGUAAUCACUUUGGAGGAGGAUCUCUUGUGCGCAGAAGUGUACAGGCGGUGAGGGGAAUCUGUGAUCCAGUUGAGGCAUAACCCGCGAUUUACUCACCCCCAGUAAUGAUACUUGGGGAGUCCAGGAUUUAGUUUAGUGUAAGUUGGAAUACCUGGAUAAAAAAAAAAAAAAAAAAAAAAAAAAAAAAAACUUAGCAAAUGUUACGGUAUUUCAUUGUCAUCGUCACAUUUUUCAAUAAUAAAUGUAUAUUAAUUCAUUGAAGUCGCACACUACAAUCACUCGUAGGAAGCUGCAAGGAAGAAAUCUCAAGAAUAGAAUAGAUAUACCCAUUUGAAG
rnacentral:lncRNA from 1 species